rnacentral:rRNA from 1 species
AUUGAACGCUGGCGGCAGGCCUAACACAUGCAAGUCGAACGGUAACAGGAAGAAGCUUGCUUCUUUGCUGACGAGUGGCGGACGGGUGAGUAAUGUCUGGGAAACUGCCUGAUGGAGGGGGAUAACUACUGGAAACGGUAGCUAAUACCUCAUAACGUCGCAAGACCAAAGAGGGGGACCUUCUGGCCUCUUGCCAUCGGAUGUGCCCAGAUGGUAUUAGCUAGUAGGUGGGGUAACGGCUCACCUAGGCGACGAUCCCUAGCUGGUCUGAGAGGAUGACCAGCCACACUGGAACUGAGACACGGUCCAGACUCCUACGGGAGGCAGCAGUGGGGAAUAUUGCACAAUGGGCGCAAGCCUGAUGCAGCCAUGCCGCGUGUAUGAAGAAGGCCUUCGGGUUGUAAAGUACUUUCCGCGGGGAGGAAGGGAGUAAAGUUAAUACCUUCGCUCAUUGACGUUACCCGCAGAAGAAGCACCGGCUAACUCCGUG